rnacentral:misc_RNA from 1 species
GGAGGACAGCACCCAUCGGUGGAGCUGCGCCCUGUGCUGUGAAGCUCUUGUUUCAGUGCCCUCCCUGCCGUGCCGCCGCAACCGCGCCGCGACGACGGCUGCCACGCUACCGCGGAGGACGGUGCCGCCUGAUGCCGACGCGGGCGUCGAGGCCUACCGGCACCGCGUAGCCCGCAGAGCUGACAUCGGCGGCGGCGGCGUCUUGCCGAGAUGCGGAGGCGUGUGCGACGACAGGCGAUGCUGACGCGCUUCUCCUGCCCGCACCGCGUCUGGACCGGCCAGCGGUGGGCUGGGCGCCCCUGCCGUGGCGGCGCGCGAUGGGCGCCGGCGUCGUGCGGCUGCCACACCCUCGCCACGGCCGGGCGCUUCCGUGCUUCGUGGUGCGCGAUCCGGUUGCCUGCGCCGUGGCGAGGCCGCGCACGCCGACGCUGCCUUGCCCGGCGUAUGCCUCGUCCCCGCUGCUGUGGGAGGUGCGGGCGCACGCGCCGCCAAGCGGCUUUGCGCGGAGCUGGCUUGUGAAGGGGCGCGCUGUCCCGAGCACCGUCGGCGCUGGCGAGCUGCUGGCCGCGACCCCGCUGGACCUGACCUUCUCUGCGCUCCAUGAGCUGCUCGGCGAUGCACAGCGCUGCUACCGCGUGGCGCGCACCUUCAUGCCAGCGGCAGGCCUGCACCGGGCCGGGGGCAUGGCCUUCUCAGCUCGCGCCACCGCCACCGCUGCUGGCUGCGAGGCCGCGGCGCCGGUGGCGAGGACUGGCGGUCGCCGAGGUCCGCGUGUGCGCGGCUGACGGCCGAGCUUUCCGCCUGGAGUGGAGCGGAUGGCACGCACGUGGGGUGCGGGGGCCCGCACGGCUGGACGGCUGACCCGCGGUCGCGGCCGGCGGCGUCGUCCAUGUGCUCUGCCACGCCUCACGGGUGGGCUGGCUGGGCACGUGCAGCAGCAGCGCGCCCGCUCCUCCUGCGCGGCUGCGUGGGCGUGCCUGAGUCCGACGGCGUGCUGCGGCGGCUGUGCGAGGCCCGUGAAGUCGGCGGCAGCGUCUCUGCGCAGACGGCGUCCUGUGAUGCGCCCGCCGACAGCCGCCACGCUGUGCACCACAGGCCAUCCGAGUCGGUGGCGGUGGGGUGGCUGACGAGACAAGUAGAGCGCGUGCGCGCCUCUGCGGUGCUGCGAGCAAUACUGCGGCUGCCGGGUGUCGGUGCUGCUGCGACGGCGACGGCGGCUGCGCCCGCCGAGGCGUGCGUGGGGGCCGCCAUGGCUGUUGCGCUUGGGGUGGUGGCCGAGUAUGUGCCGGUCCGGCUGCGCGCGGCUCUUGCGGUGGCCUGCGGUCUCGCCGACCCCGCGGCGGCGCCGGCCUGCUCGCCGACAGCCGCUGCCGCUGCCUCGCACAUCCUUCUCUGUGUGUGUGCGAGGUGCAUGAUAAUGGUAUGCGGAUGCUGGUGGGGCUGCGCAUGGGCGCUCGCCUCUCUCGCACACGCGGGCUCGACCU